rnacentral:rRNA from 1 species
AUUGAACGCUGGCGGCAGGCCUAACACAUGCAAGUCGAACGAGUGGCGGACGGGUGAGUAAUGUCUGGGAAAAUGCCUGAUGGAGGGGGAUAAAUACGGGAAACGGUAGCUAAUACCGCAUACCAUAAGAUGUGACCAGAUGGGAUUAGCUUGGUGGUGGGGUAACGGCUCACCAAGGCCACGAUCCCUAGCUGGUCUGAGAGGAUGACCAGCCACACUGGAACUGAGACACGGUCCGGACUCCUACGGGGGGCAGCAGUAGGGAAUAUUGCACAAUGGGCGCAAUCCUGCUGCAGCCAUGCCGCGUGUAUGAAGAAGGCCUUCGGGUUGUAAAGUACUUUCAGCGGGGAGGCGUUACCCGCAGAAGAAGCACCGGCUACCUCCGUGCCAGCAGCCGCGGUAAUAC